rnacentral:rRNA from 1 species
UACGUAGGGGGCAAGCGUUGUCCGGAAUCAUUGGGCGUAAAGAGCGUGUAGGCGGCUUGGUAAGUCCGCUGUGAAAGUCCAGGGCUCAACCCUGGAAAGCCGGUGGAAACUGUCAAGCUUGAGUCCGGAAGAGGCGAGUGGAAUUCCUGGUGUAGCGGUGAAAUGCGCAGAUAUCAGGAGGAACACCGGUGGCGACGGCGGCUCACUGGACCGAGACUGACGCUGAGGCGCGAAAGCGUGGGGAGCAAACAGG